CAGCCGGAAAUGACGUGGUUUCUUUCCAAAUACUGCUGCUCCUCUCCAGUGAAAUGGACCCCUGAUGACAGCACAGAGAUUCCGGAGCGCUUCUGCUCUGACUUGUUUCUGUCUCUCAGCCAAGCUUCAGCUUCAUUCCCAGGACCACACAGAACAGGAUGACCAGCACUGGAAGUCUCCAGGGAGGAGAAUGCCACAUGCCAGGUGUACAGCCCAGCAGGUGCCCGGCUUGGUUGCUAGCUAAGAAAAGACUGCAAACCUUGUUUCCAGGCCAGGGAUUUUGCAGCUCAGGAGGCAACUUGUCAGAGGAUACAUCCACCACAAGAGAGUAAGAGAGAGAGAAGGCGCCCUGCAAUGGCCGGUCGUGCCAGGCCUUUUCUCCAUUUCAUCAAGAUGCUGGACACACAUGUGUGCACCUAGUGUGAAGCUCAUGGGUCAGGGUUUGAACCCUAGUGGAUCAUACAGAUCCAUUGUCCUCUGUGAAGCACAAAACCACCGUGCUACAGGGUCAGCCCUGAACUUAUUCUCUAUACUAAACCCAAGAUGAUGUUUCCCCAGUUCCAAAUCAAUGAUGCUCCCAAACUUGCUGAGUCCUCCAGCCUCAAGGGAAAGCCUAGCACUUGGUGGAACGUGCACCUCUUCUCCACUCACAGCCUG